ACGAACGCUGGCGGCGUGCUUGACACAUGCAAGUCGAACGGAAAGGCCUGCUUUCUCUUGUGGAUUGCGGGUACUCGAGUGGCGAACGGGUGAGUAACACGUGAGUGAUCUGCCCCCAACUUGGGUAUAAGCCUGGGAAACUGGGUCUAAUUCCCGAUAGGACUGCAGGGUGGUGCCUGUGGUGGAAAACGAUUUUCUAGUGGUUGGGGAUGAGCUCGCGGCCUAUCAGCGUGUUGGUGGGGUAAUGGUCUACCAAGGCGGCGACGUGUAGCCGGUCUGAGAGGGGGGACGGCCACAUUGGGACAGGGAUACGGCCCAGACUCCUACGGGAAGCAGCAGUGGGGAAUAUUGCACAAUGGGCGGAAGCCUGAUGCAGCGACGCCGCGUGGGGGAUGACGGCCUUCGGGUUGUAAACUCCUUUCGACCGCGAGGAAGCCACCUGGUUGGAAGGGUGGUGACGGUAGUGGUAGAAGAAGCACCGGCUAACUACGUG
rnacentral:rRNA from 1 species